AGUGGCGAACGGGUGAGUAACACGUAGGUAACCUGCCGCGUAGUGGGGAAUAACUACUGGAAACGGUCGCUAAUACCGCAUAUGUCUCUGGAGACGGGCGUCUUUGGGGGCAAAGCUUAAUGCGUACGCGAGGGGCCUGCGUCCGAUUAGCUAGUUGGUGAGGUAACGGCUCACCAAGGCUGUGAUCGGUAGCUGGUCUGAGAGGACGAUCAGCCACACGGAAACUGAGACACGGUUCCGACUCCUACGGGGGGCAGCAGUGAGGAAUAUUGCACAAUGGGGGCAACCCUGAUGCAGCAACGCCGCGUGGGGGAUGAAGGCUCUUGGGUCGUAAACCCCUUUUCUCGAGGAAGAGGAAGGACGGUACUCGAGGAA
rnacentral:rRNA from 1 species